rnacentral:rRNA from 1 species
UACGUAGGGCGCAAGCGUUGUCCGGAAUUAUUGGGCGUAAAGAGCUCGUAGGUGGUUUGUCGCGUCUGUCGUGAAAGCCCGGGGCUUAACUCCGGGUCUGCGGUGGAUACGGGCAGACUAGAGGCAGGUAGGGGAGAACGGAAUUCCCGGUGUAGCGGUGAAAUGCGCAGAUAUCAGGAGGAACACCGGUGGCGAAGGCGGGACUCUGGGCCGAUACUGACGCUGAGGAGCGAAAGCGUGGGGAGCGAACAGG